rnacentral:tRNA from 1 species
UCCAUUGUAGUCUAAUUGGUUAGGAUACUUGACUCUCACCUGAGAGACCUAGGUUCAAGUCCUAACAACAGAA